rnacentral:rRNA from 1 species
AACGAACGCUGGCGGCAUGCCUAACACAUGCAAGUCGAACGGUGGCUUCGGCCACAGUGGCGCACGGGUGAGUAACACGUGGGAACCUGCCUUUCGGUUCGGAAUAACGUCUGGAAACGGACGCUAACACCGGAUACGUCCUUCGGGAGAAAGUUUACGCCGAGAGAGGGGCCCGCGUCCGAUUAGGUAGUUGGUGAGGUAACGGCUCACCAAGCCGACGAUCGGUAGCUGGUCUGAGAGGAUGAUCAGCCACACUGGGACUGAGACACGGCCCAGACUCCUACGGGAGGCAGCAGUGGGGAAUAUUGGACAAUGGGCGCAAGCCUGAUCCAGCAAUGCCGCGUGAGUGAUGAAGGCCUUAGGGUUGUAAAGCUCUUUCGCACGCGACGAUGAUGACGGUAGCGUGAGAAGAAGCCCCGGCUAACUUCGUGCCAGCCGCCGCAGUAACAC